rnacentral:rRNA from 1 species
GACGAACGCUGGCGGCGUGCUUAACACAUGCAAGUCGAACGGAAAGGCCCUGCUUUUGUGGGGUGCUCGAGUGGCGAACGGGUGAGUAACACGUGAGUAACCUGCCCUUGACUUUGGGAUAACUUCAGGAAACUGGGGCUAAUACCGGAUAGGAGCUCCUGCUGCAUGGUGGGGGUUGGAAAGUUUCGGCGGUUGGGGAUGGACUCGCGGCUUAUCAGCUUGUUGGUGGGGUAGUGGCUUACCAAGGCUUUGACGGGUAGCCGGCCUGAGAGGGGACACGGCCAAAUUGGGAACGAGAGACAGCCGAGGCUCCUACGGGAGGCAGGGGGGAAGAAUGUCGGACAAAGGCCGGGAGCCUGAUGCAGGUACGCCGCGUGCGAGAUGACGGCCUUAGGGUUGAAAACCGCUUUCGCCUGUGACGAACCGUGAGUGGCGGUAAUGGCUAAAGAAGCACCGGCGAACUACG